UAGGGAAUCUUCGGCAAUGGGGGCAACCCUGACCGAGCAACGCCGCGUGAGUGAAGAAGGUUUUCGGAUCGUAAAGCUCUGUUGUAAGAGAAGAACGUGUGUGAGAGUGGAAAGUUCACACAGUGACGGUAACUUACCAGAAAGGGACGGCUAACUACGUGCCAGCAGCCGCGGUAAUACGUAGGUCCCGAGCGUUGUCCGGAUUUAUUGGGCGUAAAGCGAGCGCAGGCGGUUUAAUAAGUCUGAAGUUAAAGGCAGUGGCUUAACCAUUGUGCGCUUUGGAAACUGUUAAACUUGAGUGCAGAAGGGGAGAGUGGAAUUCCAUGUGUAGCGGUGAAAUGCGUAGAUAUAUGGAGGAACACCGGUGGCGAAAGCGGCUCUCUGGUCUGUAACUGACGCUGAGGCUCGAAAGCGUGGGGAGCAAACAGG
rnacentral:rRNA from 1 species